UUUUAUUAGAGAUUUCAAUCCGAACCAGAAUGAGGAUAAUGUAUUGGCAAGAAUGUUAGAACAUAAAGCAGCUUUCAUAUCCCUUUUAAGUUGGGCCAGCCUCUUUUUGGGAUUCCAUACUUUGGGACUUUAUAUACAUAAUGAUGUGAUGCUUGCUUUCGGGACUCCAGGAAAACAAAUUUUGAUUGAACCUAUAUUUGCCCAAUGCAUUUAAUCUUCUCACGGUAAAACUUCAUAUGGGUUCGAUGUACUUCUAUCUUCAACGAAUAGUCCAACCUUUGAAUGCAAGGUGCAAUGUGAAUAGUGAAAGCACACUAUAAUGAGGAGCAUGGUGUAUAGUGCAUAUUGGAUGUCCAAAAUACCAAGGUGGCCUAUGCAUAGUAGAACUGUGUUAUACCAAAGUGCAAGGUGUAUAGUGUAAAGGCAGGGCACCAUGCUGCACGGUGCAUUGUGCAUGAUCGAAGUGCACCAUACCGUAGUGCACGAUGCAUGGUGAAUGGUGGAACUUCAUCAUACUAAUGUCCAUGGUGCAUAGUGGAAGUGCACCGUACUAGGUGCAUAGUGGAAGGUGGAUGGCGGAAGUACACAAUAGCAAGGUAUACUAUGCAUAUUGGGCAUGCAAUGUACUACGGUGCAUAGUCCACAGCAUAGCGCAUGGUGGAAGUUUAAAAUACCAAGGUGCAUUGUGUAAAGUGGAAAUACACUAUGCGAAGGUGCAAGGUGCAUGAUGGAAAUGCACUAUACCAUGGUGCACGGUGCAUGGUGCUCGAUGGGACUACAACAUACUAAUGUGCAUGGGGCAUAGUGAAAGUGUACCGUAAUAAGGUGAAAGUUCAAGGCGGAUGGUGGAAGCGUGCCAUACAAACGUGUAUUGUGCAUAUUGGAACUGCAAUGUACCAAGGUGCGUGGUCCAUAUAGUGCAUGUUGGAAGUGUAUUGUACCAUGGUGAUAUGUGUAAGGUGUAUAAUGGAAUUGCACCAUACCAAGCUGGACCGUGCAAAGUGGAAGUGCAUCAUUCCAAACUGCAAGGUGGAAGUGCACCAUAAGAAGAUGCACUGUGCAUAGGGGUAAGGCAAUAUACUAAUGUGCAUGAUGCAUGGUGCAAUUGCAUCAUACCAAGCACAUGGUGCAUGUUGAAAUUACAUCGUACCAAGACACAUAGUGUAAGGUAAAUGGUCGAAAUGGACCAUAGAAAGGUGCAUUGUGCAUAGUAGAAAUGCACUACAACAAGGUGUACGGUGCAUAUUACAUGUUAACAGUUAAAAGUACCAAAGGUGCACUAUGUUUAAUGGAACUGCACUAUACCAAGGUGCAAGAUGCGUGGUAAAUUGUGGAAGUGGUGCACCAUACGAAGGUGCAAUGUGAAUAGGGAAAGCACACUAUAACGAGGAGCAUGGUGUAUAGUGCAUAUUGGAUGUCCAAAAUACCAAUGUGGCCUAUGUAUAGUGGAAGUAUACUAUACCAAAGUCCAAGGUGCAUGGUGGAAAGGCAGCGUAUCAUGCUGCACGGUGCAUUGUGCAUGGAGGAAGUGCACCAUACCAUAGUGCAUGAUGCAUGGUGAAUGGUGGAAUUCAUCAUACUAAUGUCCAUGGUGCAUAGUGGAAGGGCACCGUACUAGGGGCAAAGGGGAAGGGGGGUGGGGGAAGGACGGAAGAUGAAGGUAUACAUUGCAUAUUGAGCAUGCAAUGUACUAAGGUGCUUGGUCCAUUGUACAUGAUGGCAGUGCAAAAUACCAAGGUGCAUUGUGUAUAGUGGAUAUGCACUAUAACAAUGUGUACGUUGCAUAUGACCUAUUAAAAGUGAAAAAUUAAAUAAAAAAAAAGCCGUAAGUAUGGUUUCCCAAAACCCGUUACUCAAACCUGAGUAUGAUAACAUCGAGUUUGCCAUCUCUUUUAGAGUAUGAUUCUUCCUCUCAGCAACACCAUUAUGCUGUGGUGUGUAUGGAGCAGUGGUUUCAUGGAUGAUCCCCACACUUUGAAAGUAUGCUGGAUCAUAGAACUCCCCUCCUCGAUUAGUUGAUGACAUACCUCUUACGUCCAAUGGUCGGAGUGCUAUGCAAGUCACACAAAUCGUUGUGUAUCAACUCAAGCAUCACUGAUUUCCAUUGGAUACUAGUGAAAGGCUGACGAGUAAUUUUAGUGUGGAUACACAUUUUACAUCAUUCAGCAUUGACAUCAAAAGAGGGCAGAAUCCCUUCUUUCGACAUUUCAGUUAGACGUUUAUAGUUAACGUGUCCUAACCGAGCAUGCCAUAAGGAGAAGUCAGAGGUACCAACCAAGAAAGCAUGAUCAUUAAUAAUAGUAUUAUAGAUAUUCAGCAUAAACAUGCCAUUGUUAUAGUGGCCAAAGCCUACAAACACACCACCCUUAGAUAAUGCAUAUCUAUCAGAUUCUUGCACUUGUUUGUAGCCAUAUCUAUUAAGCAUACUGCCCGACACUAAGUUUUUCCUAAUCUUAGGGGCAUGAAGUACAUCUCUAAGCUCUAGGCAUUUUCCAGAACUAAGUUCCAACAUCACCAAUCCACUCCCAACAAUAGGGGUCUUUGACUCGUUGCCCAUGUGAAGUACAACAUCAUCAUCUGAUGCCUCGUAUGUUUUGAACUAGUGACGAUCCUUGCAUACAUGUCUGUUGGCACCCGAGUCAAUCCACCAUGCCACUUCAUCAUCAUGUACAUAGAAUGCUUCCAAUAUUAGUGAAACAUAAUUCACAUCAAUAUCUAUAUCAUGGUUCAAGAACCAACUUUUAGAAGUGGAUGUCCCUUCAUCUUUCGAUCCAGACUUCUGACGCUGUUUAUUAUCAUGAUCCCCAGACUUCUGACGCUGUUUAUUAUCAUGAUCGCCAUUUCUAGGUACAAUGUGAAUAGUGCACACACACUAUAACGAGGAGCGUGGUGCAAAGUGCAUAUUGGAAGUGCAAAAUACCAAGGUGGCUUAUUUAUAGUGGAGGUGUACUAUACCAAGGUGCAAGGUGCAUGGUGGAAAGGCAGCGUACCAUGCUGCACAGUGCAAUGUGCAUGAUGGAAGUGCACCAUACCGUAGUGUACGAUGCAUGGUGAAUGGUGGAACUUCAUCAUACUAAUAUGCACGAUACAUAGUGGAAGUGUGCAGUACUAGGUGCAAAGUGCAAGGUGAAUGGUCGAAGUACACAAUAGCAAGGUAUACUAUGCAUAUGGGACAUGCACCUUAGUACAUUGGAUGCCCAAUCUGCAUAGUAUACCUUGUUGUUGUGUACUUCUACCAUCCAUCUUGCACUUUGCACCUAGUACCGUGCAAUUCCAAUAUGCACCAUGGACAUUAGUACAAUGAAGUUCCACCAUUCACCAUGCAUCAUACACUAUGGUGUGGUGCACUCCAUCAUGCACAAUGCACCGUGCAGCAUGGUAUGCUGCCUUUCCAACAUGCACCUUGCACUUUGGUAUACUACACUUCCACUAUACAUAGGCCACCUUGGUAUUUUGCACUUCCAAUAUGAACUAUGCACCAUGCUCCUCGUUAUAAUUUCUUUAACUAUUCACAUUGCACCUUGGUGUAUUUUGCAUAUUGGAACGGCAAUGUACCAAUGUGCGUGGUCUAUAUAGUGCAUGGUGGAAGUGCAUUGUACCAUAGUGAUGUGUGUAUGGUGUAUAUUGGAAUAGGCUAUAUAAUAAUGUGCAUGAUGCAUGGUGCAAUUGCAUCAUACCAAGCACACGGUACAUGUUCGAAUUACACCAUACCAAGACGCAUACUAUAAGGUGAAUGGUGGUAGUGGAGCAUAGCAAGGUGCUAUGUGAAUAGUGGAAAUGCACUAGAACAAGGUGUACGGUGCAUAUUACAUUUUAAAAAUGAAAAAUACCAAGGUGCACUAUAUUUAAUGGAACUACACUAUACCAAGGUGCAAACUGCGUAGUAAGUGGUGGAAGUGCACCAUACCAUGGUGCAAUGUAAAUAUUGAAAACACACUAUAACGAGGGCAUGGUGUAUAAUGCAUAUUGGAUGUCCAAAAUACCAAGUUGGCAUGUGUAUAGUGGAAGUUUAGUACACCUAAGUGCAAGGUGCAUGGUGGAAAGGUAGCGUACCAUGAUGUAUGGUGCAUUGUGCAUGAUGUAAGAGCACCAUACCUUAGUGCAUAAUGCAUGGUGAAUGGUGGCAUGCCAUCAUACUAAUGUACAUGGUGCAUAGUGGAAGUGCAUCGUAAUAGGUGCAAAGUGCAAGGUGGAUGGUGAAUGGUGGAACAUAAUCAUAUUAAUGUCCACAUAUCAUAGUGGAUGUGCACCGUAAUAGGUUCAACGGGCAAGGUGGAUGGUGGAAGUACACAAUAGCAAAGUAUAAUGUGCAUAUUGGGCAUGCAAUGUACUAAGAUGCAUGGUCCAUAGCAUAGUGCAUGGUGGACGUAGAAAAUACAAAGGUUCAUUGUGUAUAGUGGAAGUACACUAUGAAAGGUGCAAGGUGCAUGAUGGAAGUGAACCAUACCAUGGUGCACAAUCGGUGGAACUGCAACAUACUAAUGUACUAGGGGAAUAGUGGACGUAUAAUGUAAUAAGAAAGUGCUUGGCAGAUGGUUGAAGCGCACCAUAGAAAAGGUGUAUUGUGCAUAUUGGAAAUGCAAUGUACCAAGGUGCAUGGUCCAUAUAGUCUGGUGGAAGUGCAUUGUACCAUAGUGAUAUGUGUAAGGUGCAUAGCGGAAUUGCACCGUACCAAGCUGCUCCGUGCAAUGUCGAAGUACACCAAUCCAAGCUGCAUGGUGUAUACUGCAUGUUGGAAGUGCACCAUAAGAAGCUGCACUAUGCAUAGUGGUAAGGCAAUAUACCAAGCACAUGGUGCAAUGAUGCAUGGUGCAAUUGCAUCAUACUAAGACGCAUAGUGUAAGGUAAUGGUGGAGGUGGACCAUAGAAAGGUGCAUUUGGAAUAGUAGAAAUGCACUAGAAGAAGGUGUACAGUGCAUAUUACAUGUUAAAAGUCGAAAAUACCAAGGUGCACUAUGUUUAACGGAACUGCACUAUACCAAGGUGCAAGGUUCAUGGUAAAUGGUGGAAGUUCACAAUACCAAGGUGCAAUGUGAAUAGGGAAAGCACACUAUAACGAGGGGCAUGAUGCAUAGUGCAUAUUGGAAGUGCAAAAUACCAAGGUGGCCUAUGUAUACUGGAAGUGUAUUACACCAAAGUGCAAGGUGCAUGGUGGAAAGGCAACGUACCAUGCUGCAAGGUGCAUUGUCCAUGAUGGAAGUGCACCAUACCGUAGUAUACGAUGCAUGGUGAAUGGUGGAACUUCAUCAUACUAAUGUCCAUGGUGCAUAAUGGAAGUUCACCGUCCUUGGUACAAAGUGCAAGGUGUAUGGUAGAAGUACACAAUACCAAGGUAUACUGUGCAUAUUACGUAUGCAAUGUACUAAGGUGCAUCGUCCAUAGCAUAGUGCAUGGUGGAAGUUUAAAAUACGAAUGUGCAUUGUGUAUAGUGGAAGUACACUAUGCCAAGUGCAAAGUGCAUGAUGAACGUGCACCUUACCAUGGUGCACAGUGCAUGGUGGAACUGCACUAUACUAAUUUGCAUAGGGCAUAGUGGAAGUGUACCGUAAUAAGGAUAAAGUGCAAGGCGGAUGUUGGAUACGCACGAUACAAAGGUCUAUUGUGUGUAUUGGAACAACAUUUUACUUAGGUUUGUGGUCCAUAUAGUUUGUGGUCGAAGUACAUUGUACCAUGGCGAUAUGCUUAACGUGUAUAGAAGAAUUGCACCACACCAAGUUUCUACAUGCAAUGUGGAAGUGCAUCAUUCCAAACUGCAAGGUGGAAGUGCACCAUAAGAAGCUGCACUAUGCAUAGUGGUAAGGCAAUAUACCAAGCACAUGGUGCAAUGAUGCAUGGUGCAAUUGCAUCAUACUAAGACGCAUAGUGUAAGGUAAUGGUGGAGGUGGACCAUAGAAAGGUGCAUUUGGAAUAGUAGAAAUGCACUAGAAGAAGGUGUACAGUGCAUAUUACAUGUUAAAAGUCGAAAAUACCAAGGUGCACUAUGUUUAACGGAACUGCACUAUACCAAGGUGCAAGGUUCAUGGUAAAUGGUGGAAGUUCACAAUACCAAGGUGCAAUGUGAAUAGGGAAAGCACACUAUAACGAGGGGCAUGAUGCAUAGUGCAUAUUGGAAGUGCAAAAUACCAAGGUGGCCUAUGUAUACUGGAAGUGUAUUACACCAAAGUGCAAGGUGCAUGGUGGAAAGGCAACGUACCAUGCUGCAAGGUGCAUUGUCCAUGAUGGAAGUGCACCAUACCGUAGUAUACGAUGCAUGGUGAAUGGUGGAACUUCAUCAUACUAAUGUCCAUGGUGCAUAAUGGAAGUUCACCGUCCUUGGUACCAAGAGCAAGGUGUAUGGGAGAAGUAAACAAUAACAAGGUAUACUGGGCAUAUUACGGAUGCAAAGCACUCAGGUCCUCCAGGGGGACGAUUGGGCCGUGGCCAUAGGGGACUUUAUGGCACAAUCAAUAGUUAGCUUCAUUUUCAAUUAGGUCUUGCUCUAGCUUGUUUAGGAGUUAUUACUUUCUUAGUAGCCUAACACAUGUACUCCUUACCUGCUUACGCGUUCAUAGCGCUAGACUUUACUACUCAAGCUGCAUUAUAUACUAAUCACCAAUAUAUUGUCGGAUUCAUCAUAACAGGAGCUUUUGCUCACUAAGCUAUUUUUUAUUAGAGAUUGCAAUCCGGAGCAAAAUGAGGAUAAUGUAUUGGCAAGAAUGUUAAAAUAUAAAGAAGCUAUCAUAUCCCAUUUAAGUUGGGCCAGCCACUUUCUGGGAUUCCAUACUUUGGGACUUUAUGUUCAUAAUGAUGUGAUGCUUGCUUUUGCGACUCCUGAAUUUUUUUUUAUUGAACCUAUAUUUGCCCAAUGGGUUCAAUCUUCUCACAGUAAAACUUCAUAUGGGUUUGAUGUACUUCUAUCUUCAACGAAUAGUCCAGCC
rnacentral:lncRNA from 1 species